CCCAGAAAAGAAAUGGUUACAAAAUACUUUGGUCUGUAGAUCAGCCAAAAGUUUCCAUUUGUGACACCAACACUGUAACUGGAGAUGACAACUCGUCCACAGCAGUGAAAAGCGACCCUCGUCUCAUCAUGUUGAACACCGUCAUCCUGGUCUGUGUUUUGUUUCAGCUCCAGCUGCCAGUUAAUGAUGGAGCUCCCAGCGCUUACCAGGUCCUCCAGUCGCCUCGUUUCGCCGCUCCGAAACCCGGAGAAUCCGUCACGGUCCACUGUUCGCACAACGUAUCCAUUUUUGAGCGCAUCCUUUGGUACAAACGAGAAAAACACGGAGCUCUGAGGUACCUGGGAUACAUGAACAGGAACUUCCCUUACCCAGAGGGCGACGUGAAGGACAAGAUGAACUUUGGAGGAGACGGCAGCAAACACGCGACCCUGAAUAUUUCGACUGUUUCGGGAAAUGACAGCGCGAUUUAUUUCUGCGCUGCCAGUCGACACAGUACAGCAGAAUCCCUACGCAGCUGCCUGGAGAAACCAUGA